GACGAACGCUGGCGGCGUGCUUAACACAUGCAAGUCGAACGGAAAGGCCCUGCUUUUGUGGGGUGCUCGAGUGGCGAAAGGGUGAGUAACACGUGAGUAACCUGCCCUUGACUUUGGGAUAACUUCAGGAAACUGGGGCUAAUACCGGAUAGGAGCUCCUGCAGCAUGGUGGGGGUUGGAAAGUUUCGGCGGUUGGGGAUGGACUCGCGGCUUAUCAGCUUGUUGGUGGGGGAGUGGCUUACCAAGGCUUUGACGGGUAGCCGGCCUGAGAGGGUGACCGGCCACAUUGGGACUGAGAGACGGCCCAGACUCCUACGGGAGGCAGCAGUGGGGAAUAUUGCACAAUGGGCGGAAGCCUGAUGCAGCAACGCCGCGUGCGGGAUGACGGCCUUCGGGUUGUAAACCGCUUUCGCCUGUGACGAAGCGUGAGUGACGGUAAUGGGUAAAGAAGCACCGGCUAACUACGUG
rnacentral:rRNA from 1 species